rnacentral:rRNA from 1 species
UACGUAGGGGGCAAGCGUUGUCCGGAAUCAUUGGGCGUAAGGAGCGUGUAGGCGGUUCGGUAAGUCGGCUGUGAAAGUCCAGGGCUCAACCCUGGGAUGCCGGUCGAUACUGCCGGACUAGAGUUCGGAAGAGGCGAGUGGAAUUCCCGGUGUAGCGGUGAAAUGCGUAGAUAUCGGAAGGAACACCAGUGGCGAAAGCGGCUGCCUGGUCCAGCAUCGACGUUCAGGCACGAAAGCGUGGGGAGCAAACAGG